rnacentral:sRNA from 1 species
ACACGUGAAGGGAGGUGGUCCAGAGUUGAGUAGCACUGGGACUCGUGAGGUGGCUGUCCGCUAGCCGCUGUCCUUGACAGCUUUGGUUGUUUUAAAAGAAGUCGAGACCGUGUGGCAGCGGCCCGGCAAAACCAGACAGCCACCCGACCCCUGGGGAUCCGGCCUAGUCCGACCGGACCUCGCUGCUUGCGGCGAGGAAAUCCCCAGGGGUCGCUUCAU